ACAACAGGUUGAUAUUCCUGUACCACCAAAAUCCGUUUGAACGAUGGGGGGACGCAGGAGGAUAGGGUAAGCGCGCUGUUGGAUUAGCGCGUCCAAGCAGUUAGGCUGGUAGCGAGGAAAAUCCCGUUACCGUUAAGGCUGAGCUGUGAUGGCGAGGGAAAUAUAGUACCGAAGUUCCUGAUUCCACACUGCCAAGAAAAGCCUCUAGUGAGGAUUAGGUGCCCGUACCGCAAACCGACACAGGUAGGCGAGGAGAGAAUCCUAAGGUGUGCGAGAGAACUCUCGUUAAGGAACUCGGCAAAAUGACCCCGUAACUUCGGGAGAAGGGGUGCUCUC
rnacentral:rRNA from 14 species